UGCACUGCUGAGAACAAAACCGUAAUAACAAUCUCAUCGAUCAUUCUCAGGAAAGGUUAUACCAACAGAGACAGGGGUUGGCAAGACUCUGCCAGAAUCCGAGGCUGAAACACAGAGCAGAGCGGCAUGAAGACAGGCCGUCAUCUUCUCCCCGGCUGACUAUGCAUCCCUACCAGCGAUCCCUCAAAAAAAAACCUGGCCACAGCUGACAGCGAAGCCUACUUUUAAGGGAGAUUUAUCAAGCCAGUGUCCAAACAAGACUCCCAACUGUCCCCCACUCCCCUCUCUCUACCCACCCAAGGA
rnacentral:lncRNA from 1 species